GGCUGGAACCGAAAAACGGCUGUGUAAGUGUAAGGCAUUAAAACAUGAGGCCAGAGUGAUAGGUCUGGAUGGCUUGGCUCCCAUGGUGAAGGCUGUGCAAACACCUGCAAAAACCAUGGCACCUCAAGCCUACAACGAGAACGGCUCCCCAUUAAGGCGAGAUGCAGAUGGCACGAACCUCCGGGCCGUAUGAAAAGCUGGACUUGAUUGCAAACUGAUCCUACUUCUAACCAUAAUAAAGCUUCUCAUUUUCUAUAAAAAGUGAGGAGAUCAAAUCCGGUGAUAACCAACCCAAGUGCUCCCACAAGAUCCCAGGAAGUUCCAUUACAGGAACACAUCUCAAGCAAAUGGAUCAAAUCACCCCAGCAAUGAUGUGCUGAAAUUCGUGUGGGUAGGGAUGAAAUAAACUCUCACGGUAUUUAAACAAGGAGUUACAUGGUCAGAUUUGCUGAUGGCUAUCUUCCUGUCACAUGACUUGUCCUAGUAUGAAAAGUCAAACUCAAGAGAAUCAAGCAAAACCAUAGAAAGAGUGUGAAUCCUUUCAACAAAGCUGAAUUGAACACUGACUUGAAUACAGCCAAGCCAGCU